CUUGGAGGAGAUGGUAA
rnacentral:piRNA from 1 species